rnacentral:lncRNA from 1 species
AGUCUCAGAUCUCGUAGCAAUGCCAUUCUAUUAUUAUAUCGGUACAUCCGUUACUCAACAUGCGCUCUUUUUAUUAGAUACAAUGAGAUGUAUCAAAGAUGGAAAGUUCUUACAAGUAAAACUUUUAACAUACAUUUAACUCAAAAAAGAGAUAAAAUAGAUAGGUUAGAUGAAUACAAAGACGGAUGAUCACCUGAAUAAAAUUGGCAGCCUUUGAAUUAAGUGCUAAUAGAUUGAAUAUGUAAGAGAGUGAACAAAAGUCGCAUAAACAAUGAGAUUCAUGCUCCAAAACUUUGAUUUAAUAGUAAAAUUGACUGGGUUGCCUUCUAUAUAGCUCAGCAUUUUAGAGAGGAUUUUUUGGACUCAUCGGAAGGUUCCUUCUAUACCAUUGUGUUAGAUUUUUAUUAUUGGUUCAGUUGGCUGCACUUAUUUUAGAGCUGUACUAAAAAAAAAUAAGUAAAAUUGCAGAGGACGGCAACGAGCAACUUUGUUUAUGAAGACAACGGUGGGGGCAUUUCGGCCAUUUCAACUCCAAGCCAUCAGCGAGCCAAGAAAGCAGCAGUGGCAUCACUACUAUUCACUAGGCCACUCUGAUCUUUAUAAACCCCUGCCUUCGAAGCUCUCCGGCCAGGGGAAAAAUAGCAGGGAGAGACCGGAGCAAAACAAAACAAAACCAAAUCCUUUUCCAUUCUUCUCUCCCACCACUGGUCUCUGUCUUCUCCGUCGGAAUUCUUUCCAUCCACGCCCCAAUCUUCGUCUCCUUCCAUUAACUCCUCUUCCCCUGGGAGGGGAGAGAAACUAAGAGAUGGCUCUUAGUAGCCCCUGCUCUAUUGCCUCUUCCAACGCCUCUGUCAUCAUGAUCACCCGCUUCUUCCGUCACUAGCUACAUAAGAAGAGAGAAGUAGCGGGUGUAGGAGACCUUUCGGAAGGGAGAAAGCAUGGCCUUCUGAUCUUAAGCCGGCUCGCUAAAGAGUUCCGGGAAGAACAGAGACAGAAAGGGCGAGAAGAAGAGGAAGAGAGAGAGAGAGAGAGGUCGGGAAGGAGUGAAGUUUUGAGAAGUUUCGGGGGAAAAAGACACUAUCUGGAGAAAGACAGUUUAGAAGAAAAAAAGACAGUGAGGGAGGGAGAGGGGGGAAGAAUAUGGCGGGAAUGAGGGCGUAUGGGGCCCCAAAUAUGGCGGCUUUGCUCCGGCACGAAGGGUUUCCCUCCGACGCUAUCGAAUCUCUGCUCGCUUCGGACUCUUCUCAUGGCGGAUUCCUUGGUAACCAUCUCGGCUUGUUUUGAAUUUUGGAAUUUAGUUCGGGUGAUAGUUUUUUAGUGCUCGGCUUCAGUUUAUUCUCUUAUUUUCUUUGAUCUGAUUCUAAUUUUGAGCUGUUUAUUGGCCUGCUAAGCUUUUUAGAUGGUCAAAGUGGAGAUAUGUGUGUGUGUUUUGUUCGGGGUGGGGGUGGGGGGAUUUGUAUAAAGGUUUGCAAGAGGGUUACUGCCACUGAACUUGGUACUUUUUCCUAGUAUGCGUUUUCCAUUACUCAUCCAUCUGAAGUUUUGAGCUUCUGAAGUUUUUCUGGAACCAAUCUUAGAAGCAUCUCUCUUAUUGAGGCCAGUUAAUCUUGCCGAAAAAUUAUUUGAUUUCUACUUAAGCUGAUGGAUUUUUUGACAUGAGCAUAACAAACUACUAUGAUCGAGACUUUCUGAAUUAUGAUAUCAGGAUACGUAUUAAGUGUAUGAGACUUCAGCUUAAAAACUGCGCUUUGAUCAAUACUCCCACUAAUUGUACUUCUCGUUUUUAGCAUUUCUUUUUUUAAAAAAAAACUAAAUAUCAAGUAACUUACAUGAUGGCCUUAUCUUGGAUUCGAAUAUUCAUAUGACAUUUUUGUAGGCAAUUUGACGAGGCAAUUUCGUGAUUUUUCCCUUAAAAAAGGUGUUUGCAGUUAUUAAUUUGAUUUAGAUAUAGAGCAAAAUGUUCUUUACUCAUUCUUUUUCCAUCAAAUUUUAUGGCGAUAGUGAAAUGGAUUUAGAAACGAUAUUUUGUUUGUGAACACAUAGAAAGUUGGAUACACGAUGAUAGUUUUCUAUUUCCUAUGUUACUCAAGCUGGUAGAUCAAGCUAUACAUGGCCACAGUUAGAAGAUACAUAUUGAACUCUAAGUUAAAAUUCGUUUUGUCCCUAGGCUUGAAAUCCAUGAUGAAUAUUGAAAAUGUUCGUGGGAUCACAAAUGAAGGAUCAUUUUACCGGUCCCUUGACUUGGAUGAGACCGGUGAGGUGAACCUGGAGGAGUUUUGUCGCCAACCAGAUAAGAAGAGGCGGCUAAUGGUUGACCAGGUUGAGCUCCUGGAGAAGAAUUUUGCUCUUGACAACAAGCUCGAACCAGAGAGAAAGAUUCAGCUUGCAAAGGAUCUUGGCCUUCAGCCUAGACAGGUAGCCAUAUGGUUUCAGAACCGCCGGGCCCGAUGGAAGACAAAGCAGAUGGAGAAGGAUUAUGGAGCGCUUAAGUCCAGCUAUGAUGUUCUCAAGGCUGAUUUUGAGAAACUACUCAAGGAGAAGGAGAAGCUGAAAGCAGAGGUAAUCCAUUUCAGUCAAAGCAAAUAAAUUUAUACUGCUUCUCUCCAUUUUUUUCAGCUGAAACCUGCAUCCCCUUUAAAAAUUGCUUGAAACUAAUUUUUGGGUGCAUGAUCUCUUGCAUUAACAACACCGUACAAUGCUAAAACUCUUUGUUUCUUAAUCAUGUUCAAUACCCUGAAAGCAUGAGUAGAUGUAAAUUUUGCUCUCUUUUCGAAUUGACACGACUAUUGUCAAGCUGUAGAAAAGGAUUCCUCUAGUUUUAAAGAUUUUGUGCAUCAGAUGCUGAGGAAUAGUUCAUAUGAUCACGUUCAUUUUCUUAUUAUGAGUCCGUUGUACUACUUCUUGGUCAUGUGUCUUGCACAGAUUGCUAUAUGUUUCAUGCUGGUCCGAAUGAUGUUUCAUAAGAAUUAAUUCCUCAUCUUCUGUUCAAGAAACUGCUCUGUCGUUUUUAUUUUACCACAACAGCAAUUGAGGAAGACAAGAAACCAAAAUGCUAUUGUGACAUGCCUUUCCAAAAUUUACGUACUGUCAGUCAAAAGAUUUGUCCUGAUCUCUGUCUGUCUUUCCUCUAUUGCAAAAUAUAUUCAGAACAUAAAUUAUAUCUCCCUUUUCUCUAAGAAUUUUCUCCCGAACAGGUUCUCUUUCUCACAGACAAUCUUUGUAAAGGGGAGAAGGGCGACUUAGAAACACAUGAAAUCAAAAAUCCUCCCCUCCUGCUGGAAAAACUAGACAUGGCUUCAGUUUUUGAAGAGAAAAAACCUGAUAUGCAUGUUCUGCUGUGUAAACCAGAGGAUCUCAGCUCUGCCAACAGUACAGUAUCAGACUCGGAUAGCCCUGGGUGCACUGAUGGAGUACUCUCUCCACUUAUGGGGCAGGCAGGCUCUUCAAAUGUCUUCAAACCUGAUAGGGCUGUUCUCUUACAUGUCGAUGAGGACGAGGAAAUUAAAGGAUGCAGCUCCAUGAAGCUUGAAGACAACUCAUGUAAUUAUGUUUUCCCAGUGGAGGACCAGGCUUUCUGGUUCUGGCCCUACUGAUAUUUCAUACUUCCUAUUCUAUGCAUGUCCAUCCUGCUAUUAGUCUUUGUUUCUGCUCUAGGAUUUUUCCUCUUAUGAUGUAAUGAUGAGCAAGGAGAUCGGUAAGGGCCAUCUGGUGACACCAAACCUAGGUGGUUUGUUGGUUUUCUUCAUCCUUCCAAAGUGAUGACGAUCUCUUUCUCUAAAUUUCCCUUUCUCAUCCUUCUGAAGUCCUAAUUUGAUAUCUAAGUUGGUUUGUAACAAAGCCUUGGGCAGCCGAAAGGCCUUCUUUGUAACUAUGCAUAUGAAAAGCUACAAGAUUCGGAAGUCAAGCUAGCUCAUGGACCUGUGCUAUACGGUCUAAUGUGGAGCUAUAUCUGUAACUUCCAAGUGGCAAAAAUUAGCAUGGGAAUAUGAUCACUGACGUCUUGUUUAUCAGAAUAGCU